UGACAGCUGUUCAAUGAGGGAUUAUGAUGUCACAGUGGUAAUUACACUAUAAACAGGGGAUAGGGGGAGAAUAAAGCAUGAAAGAGAACCCUGGGCUUGUUACCAGGCAACACAAAAUAUGCAACCUGAAACCAGGCAAGCAUGUAAAUUUCCUUACAAGCCUCCCAGAUGUCCUCACUUUAUGGCCAAUGCUCAGUUUCAGUUUCAAUUUGUUUAUUUGCCCUUCUCAGUCACAAAUGUGGAGCUGAGAAUGCUGGAAGAGAGAAGAGAAAGCAAGGAAUAAAAAGACAAGGAGGGACCCUCCUUUCUCCCCUGAGUGUGUGGAUUGAGCUCAAGAAACAUGGCUCCUAUUUCCACUAUCCCGUGACUCCUCCAAAGAACAUGACUUUCUGGAAAAGGGCAAGGACUGGAGUCUUCAGCUCUAUGGCCUUACAGAUGAGAAUGUUGAAGCAGGAAAAAAAUACGCACAGCAGGUCAGUGGCAGAUCCAGGGCUGUCCCAGUAUCCUGAAUCUCAGUUUUCUGUCUACUAUUUCACCUGCCUUCAUAAAUGUUUCUGAAGCUAAAAUAAUUACAGUCAUCCUCCAAAAACCUCAUCAUAAAAUUGUAGAGCUGGGAUAGACCUGAAAAGUUUCUUCCAUUGCUGUCUGAUGAGCUGAAUUAUGGCUCCCAAAGAUGCCUGAGUCCCAGAACCGGUGAAUGUUAUUUGGUAUGAGAAAGAGUCUUUGCACAAUGAUGAAGGAUUUGGAGCAGGAAAGAUUAUUCUGUAUUAUUUGAGUGGACAUGAUAUAAUCACAAGAGUCCUUAUAAGAGGAAACAGAAGAAACCAGAGUCAGAGAGGGGCCAUGUGAAAAUGGAAGUGGUAACUGGAUGAUGGGCUUUGAAGAUGGAGGAAGGAGACACGAGCCAAGGAAUGCAAGUCACCUGUAGAAGCUAGAAAACGCAAGGAAACAAACUCCUCUAAAGCCUCCAGAGGGAAUCAGCUCAGUGACACCUUGACUUUAGCCAGGGACACUGAUUUUCCACUUCUGACUUCUGGAAAUGUAAGAGAAUAAAUCUGCAUAUUUUAA
rnacentral:lncRNA from 1 species